rnacentral:rRNA from 1 species
AGAGUUUGAUCAUGGCUCAGGACGAACGCUGGCGGCGUGCUUAACACAUGCAAGUCGAACGGUGAAGCCCUUCGGGGUGGAUCAGUGGCGAACGGGUGAGUAACACGUGAGCAACCUGCCUCUGGCUCUGGGAUAACUCCGGGAAACCGGGGCUAAUACUGGAUAUGACGCGUCCGGGCAUCCGGGUGUGUGGAAAGUUUUUCGGCCAGAGAUGGGCUCGCGGCCUAUCAGCUUGUUGGUGGGGUGAUGGCCUACCAAGGCGACGACGGGUAGCCGGCCUGAGAGGGCGACCGGCCACACUGGGACUGAGACACGGCCCAGACUCCUACGGGAGGCAGCAGUGGGGAAUAUUGCGCAAUGGGCGAAAGCCUGACGCAGCGACGCCGCGUGAGGGAUGAAGGCCUUCGGGUUGUAAACCUCUUUCAGCAGGGAAGAAGCGCAAGUGACGGUACCUGCAGAAGAAGCACCGGCUAACUACGUGCCAGCAGCCGCGGUAAUACGUAGGGUGCAAGCGUUGUCCGGAAUUAUUGGGCGUAAAGAGCUCGUAGGCGGUCUGUCGCGUCUGCUGUGAAAACUCGGGGCUUAACCCCGGGCCUGCAGUGGGUACGGGCAGACUAGAGUGCGGUAGGGGAGACUGGAAUUCCUGGUGUAGCGGUGAAAUGCGCAGAUAUCAGGAGGAACACCGGUGGCGAAGGCGGGUCUCUGGGCCGUAACUGACGCUGAGGAGCGAAAGCGUGGGGAGCGAACAGGAUUAGAUACCCUGGUAGUCCACGCCGUAAACGUUGGGCGCUAGGUGUGGGGCUCUUUCCACGAGUUCCGUGCCGCAGCUAACGCAUUAAGCGCCCCGCCUGGGGAGUACGGCCGCAAGGCUAAAACUCAAAGGAAUUGACGG